rnacentral:rRNA from 1 species
GAGUUUGAUCCUGGCUCAGGACGAACGCUGGCGGCGUGCUUAACACAUGCAAGUCAAGGAGAAAGUCCCGUUCGCGGGAUGAUUAAACUGGCGCACGGGUGAGUAAUAUAUAAGCAAUCUACCCAUAGGUAUGGAAUAACGUCGAGAAAUCGGCGCUAAUACCAUAUAAUGCAGCGGCAUCGCAUGAUGAUGUUGUUAAAGUUCAUGAAACGCCUAUGGAUGAGCUUGUAUCUGAUUAGCUUGUUGGUGAGGUAAUGGCUCACCAAGGCAAUGAUCAGUAGCUGGUCUGAGAGGAUGAUCAGCCACAUUGGAACUGAGACACGGUCCAGACUCCUACGGGAGGCAGCAGUGAGGAAUAUUGGGCAAUGGGCGAAAGCCUGACCCAGCAACGCCGCGUGAAGGAUGAAUGUCGUAAGAUUGUAAACUUCUUUUAGAGGGGACGAAAAAACAGGUUAGAAGCCUGAAUUGACGGUACCCUCAGAAUAAGCCCCGGCUAACUACGUGCCAGCAGCCGCGGUAAUACGUAGGGGGCAAGCGUUGUCCGGAUUUACUGGGUGUAAAGGGCGCGCAGGCGGAUUUGUCAGUCAGGGGUGAAAUCCUACAGCUUAACUGUAGAACUGCCUUUGAUACUGCAAACCUUGAGUACGGAAGAGAGAGGCGGAAUUCCAGGUGUAGUGGUGAAAUACGUAGAUAUCUGGGAGAACACCAGAGGCGAAGGCGGUCUCUUGGUCCGUUACUGACGCUGAGGCGCGAAAGCGUGGGGAGCAAACAGGAUUAGAUACCCUGGUAGUCCCACGCUGUAAACGAUGAAUACUAGGUGUUGGGUUUUUUGACUCAGUGCCGCAGCAAACGCAUUAAGUAUUCCACCUGGGGAGUACGAUCGCAAGGUUGAAACUCAAAGGAAUUGACGGGGGCCCGCACAAGCAGUGGAGCAUGUGGUUUAAUUCGAUGCAACGCGAAGAACCUUACUAGGCUUGAAAGUAUGAUGAGUGUGAAGCUACUCUUUCAUCGGAACGCUAUUACAGAUGCUGCAUGCUGACGUCAACUCAGUAUGGAGGUGUUGGUUAAGUCUCCGCCACGAGCCACCCUACUAUUAGCUGCAUUAGUAUGCUGGACACCUUCUAUG